rnacentral:lncRNA from 1 species
AGAAGCUCCGUCUUUACCAACGCGAGCAGCGCAGCAGCUUCUCCAGGCGGUCGAGCGCGGCGCGACUGUGGGCCCAGGCACCGCGACCAUCCGGUUCCAUGGCGGGCGCGGAACGAGGCUCGUUCCCGGAGCGGAUCCUCGGCUGCCGGUUCCUCGGCUGCCGAUUAUCCGGCAUCGUCCCGCCUUCGGAUGAAAGGCUCCUCGCAGAGCGGGAAGCAAGGAAGCCUCGGGAAACCACAGGGAAGCUGCAGCGUAAUUAGCUGCCUACUUUUCAAAAUUAUGUGAUGACUUCAUGGGAAAAGAGAUUCACAAGAACCAGUAACAGGAAAGCUUAAAUAAGCUUGGAAAUCUUUAAACUUUCAAUAUCGGAAAAUGCCAAAGCAAUUGGGGAAAAAAAUACUGUUUUCUCUGAAAUGAAGACUCCUCAAGAUCCUGUUGCUGGAAUGAGUAUUGGACUCUUCGGUCUACUUCUACAGUCACCAGUACAUCUGGCAUACACUAUGAUGCCCAACAGUAGGAAGAUGAAAGAAAUGUAGAUGUUGGCAUUUCUAAAAGAGAUGUUGUAUCUUUUUUCCUACUUAAUAGACUAUUAGGCUAUAAAUCUCAAUCUUGGCCAGCA